ACAUUCGUAGUGUAGGGGUUAUCAUCUGAGCUUCCAAUGCUUAGGACCCGGGUUCGAGUCCCGGCGGAUGUA
rnacentral:tRNA from 1 species